ensembl:lncRNA
AUGUUCAGGAUUGUUCCAUCAUCUCAGUAUCAUCUCACACCUGUCAGAAUGGCUAUCAUUAAGGAGAACACAAAUAACAAGUAUUGGAAAGGACCUGAAGAAAAGAGAAGUCUUCUUACACUGUUGGUGAGAAUGAAACUUGGUACAGCCACUAUGGAAAGCAAUAUGGAGGCUUCUCAAGAAGCUAAAACUAGAACUACCAUAUGACCCAGCAAUUCCACUCCUGGCAGGAAGCCAAGCCAGCACUUUUUUUGUGGUCCAGUGGAUAAGAAUGCAUCUGCCAAUGCCAGGGACAUGUAUAUGAUCCCUGGUCUGGGAAGAUUCCACAUGCUGUGGAGCAACUAGGAUCACAAGCCAUAAUUACUG